rnacentral:tRNA from 1 species
GCCUGGGUGGCUCAGCCGGUUAAGCAUCCGACUUUGGCUCAGGUCAUGAUCUCGCGGUUUGUGGGUUCGAGCCCCACGUCAGGCU